GUCAGUCGCCUGUUCAAGGAUAUCCCAUUUCGACGAGUCCACUACCACCACUGGGGCGACGUGUCCUGCAUCCAGUGCUUCUCCGAGCUCCUCCAGGAUAGCGUGAAUGCCAGCAAUCGUGCAAAGUAGGAGCUUAAAAGGGGACGUUAUCAAUGUGGGUGAAAACAACGUGUCAUUAUGUUUAGAAUAGACAAAUCAGUAUAUAUGUGAUGUAACUGUCAAAGCCGGAAUGUUGAAAGCAUACAUCCCACCCAAGGCAUGCUAGGAGGAUCUCCUAUCAAGCAGCUUGGAAACUUGCAGACGCCGAUAUGCCUUAUGUUCAGUGCAGCCGAUGUUAUGAACUGCCAAGUGGAACAUACGCCUUAAAGAAAACAAUUAUGUACGAACAUAUUCAAGCUGCACGUCAAGUGCUAGGAUCCAUUGCCCAACAAGGUGAUUACGGAUUCAGCAACUGACAGAUUGACUGAUCAAACAUGAUUGUUCGUGCAGCAAGAGAGGGUUUGACUGCAGAUCCCGACCACCUGCUUCUGUAAAUUUGUACUAACCAUAGGUGAUAGCAAGGAGGCAUGCCUUGAUUACCGGCGGCCUUCUGUCAGUUAGACAAGUCCCUGAAUCAAUAUUAAUAAAGAUAAUCA
rnacentral:lncRNA from 1 species